rnacentral:rRNA from 1 species
CUCUUUGAGGCCGGUUAUCGGAAUGGGUACAAUCUAAACCCUUUAACGAGUAUCUAUGAGAGGGCAAGUCUGGUGCCAGCAGCCGCGGUAAUUCCAGCUCUCAAAGUGCAUGAAACCAUUGUUGCGGUUAAAAAGCUCGUAGUUGAAUCUAGGCCUUGGGCUUGGUCCACUCUUUGAGUGCGUACUAAGUUCCUUGGCUUUUCGUCGGUUUUCUUGUCGUGGCCUUCAUUGGUGGCGGCAAGUGGCUGACAGUUUUACUUUGAACAAAUCAGAGUGCUCAAAACAGGCGUUUCGCUUGUAUGUUUUUGCAUAGAAUAAUAGAAUAUGACUUCGGUUAGAUUUUAUUGGUUUUAUUGACCGUAGUAAUGAUUAACAGAGACAAACGGGGGCAUUCGUAUUGUUGGGUGAGAGGUGAAAUUCUUGGACCCUAGCAAGACGACCUACAGCGAAAGCAUUUGCCAAGCUUGUCUUCAUUAAUCAAGAACGAAAGUCAGAGGAUCGAAGGUGAUCAGAUACCGCCCUAGUUCUGACCGUAAACGAUGCCUACUAGCGAUUCGCCGGUGGAUUUUUUUCUCUGGCGAGGAGCUCCCCGGAAACGAAAGUCUUCCGGUUCCGGGGGAAGUAUGGUUGCAAAGCUGAAACUUAAAGGAAUUGACGGAAGGGCACCACCAGGAGUGGAGCCUGCGGCUUAAUUUGACUCAACACGGGAAAACUCACCCGGCCCGGACACCGUAAGGAUUGACAGAUUGAUAGCUCUUUCAUGAUUUGGUGGAAGGUGGUGCAUGGCCGUUCUUAGUUCGUGGAGUGAUUUGUCUGGUUUAUUCCGAUAACGAGCGAGACUCUGUCUUACUAAAUAGUCCGCUCAUUGGUAUUGUGAGCGGUACUUCCUAGAGGAAUUUUCGGCGUUU